rnacentral:rRNA from 1 species
UACGUAGGUGGCGAGCGUUAUCCGGAUUUAUUGGGUUUAAAGGGUGCGUAGGUGGUUAUGUAAGUCAGCGGUUAAAUCAGGCAGCUUAACUGUCAUAAUGCCGCUGAUACUGCGUAGCUAGAGUGCAGAUGAGGUAGGCGGAAUGGAUGGUGUAGCGGUGAAAUGCUUAGAUAUCAUCCAGAACACCGAUUGCGAAGGCAGCUUACUGGGCUGUUACUGACACUGAGGCACGAAAGUAUGGGGAUCAAACAGG